rnacentral:lncRNA from 1 species
AUGCCAAGAUGCCUGUUGGUGAGAGAGACCCUCUCCAGAGUUUUCCAGAGGCGACUCCUUCCACGUGACGUUCAGGCUGUGACAAACCCCGUGCCCACACUGCCUGCACUGCCGGGAGACUCAGGGCUGGGGGAGGCAUGCCCCGGCCACCACUGCCAGGAGACUCAGGGCUGGGGGAGGCAUGCCCCGGCCACCACUGGUGAGCCAGCGAGACUGAGGACCCCGCACGUGCUGACCCGGGGACGCCGCGGAACUCACUCGAGACUGAGGACCCGGCGUGUGCUGACGCAGGGACGCCACGGAACUCACUCGAGAUUCCUGCUCACAGCACGUUUCCUGCUCGGAAGCCAGGAGAGCCUCCACGUGCCACCCAGCUCUGUCCACGUGUCCAUCACACAGCUCUGCAGCAGAAGGAACUUCAGUAAAGAUGCUGCGAUGGCAGCCGCACUUUUCCUCACUUGUUUUGAAGGCCAAGCCGGCGGCCUCCUCGGCAGCUGGGGACAGUUGCUUCCUCAGCUUCUGUGUGCCGACUGCCUCACCUGA